rnacentral:rRNA from 1 species
AGAGUUUGAUCAUGGCUCAGGAUGAACGCUGGCGGCGUGCCUAACACAUGCAAGUUGAGCGAUUUACUUCGGUAAAGAGCGGCGGACGGGUGAGUAACGCGUGGGUAACCUGCCCUAUACACACGGAUAACAUACCGAAAGGUAUGCUAAUACGAGAUAAUAUAAGAGAUUCGCAUGGAUUUCUUAUCAAAGCUGAGGCGGUAUAGGAUGGACCCGCGUCUGAUUAGCUAGUUGGUAAGGUAACGGCUUACCAAGGCGACGAUCAGUAGCCGACCUGAGAGGGUGAUCGGCCACAUUGGAACUGAGACACGGUCCAAACUCCUACGGGAGGCAGCAGUGGGGAAUAUUGCACAAUGGGCGAAAGCCUGAUGCAGCAACGCCGCGUGAGUGAUGAAGGCCUUCGGGUCGUAAAACUCUGUCCUCAAGGAAGAUAAUGACGGUACUUGAGGAGGAAGCCCCGGCUAACUACGUGCCAGCAGCCGCGGUAAUACGUAGGGGGCUAGCGUUAUCCGGAUUUACUGGGCGUAAAGGGUGCGUAGGUGGUCUCUUGAGUCAGGAGUGAAAGGCUACGGCUUAACCGUAGUAAGCUCUUGAAACUGGGAGACUUGAGUGCAGGAGAGGAAAGUGGAAUUCCUAGUGUAGCGGUGAAAUGCGUAGAUAUUAGGAGGAACACCAGCAGCGAAGGCGGCUUUCUGGACUGUAACUGACACUGAGGCACGAAAGCGUGGGGAGCAAACAGGAUUAGAUACCCUGGUAGUCCACGCCGUAAACGAUGAGUACUAGGUGUCGGGGGUUACCCCCCUCGGUGCCGCAGCUAACGCAUUAAGUACUCCGCCUGGGGAGUACGCUCGCAAGAGUGAAACUCAAAUGAAUUGACGG